GUGGUGCAGUAGUUGAGCUCGUGCACUCUGCCUAGGGGCCUGGGGUUUGCAGGUUUGGAUCCUGGGUGCGGACCUACAUACCACACAUCAAGCCAUGCUGUGGCAGCAUCCCACAUACAAAAUAGAGGAAGAUUGGCACAGAUGUAAGCUCAGGGCCAAUCUUCCUCACACACACACAAAAAAAAAGGAAGGAGAGAUGGACACAGUCAGAAGGAAGGAGGAGCCCCUGAGACCUCAAACAGAGCAACUGUCCCUAUAGCCAUCCCCACAGCAGGAGCCCUAUGGGAGUCAGAUGCCCGUAAAGUGGGACACUCACAGCACUAUGAAGCCGGACCAGCACCGAUGGCAUCAAUCCCUGAGAAUGCUCACCACCACCUCCAUCACCCCCGAGUCCUCGCUCCUGCAGCUGGGCCCCAUUCCUCACCACCCUAGCAGCAAGGACACUGGCUACGGCAGGGGAGUAAAAGCAGAAAAGGCGGUGGAGAUCCAGCUGGUGGAGCCAGAGUCUGCAUGGACUGGAGAAGAAGAAAAAUUUUUGCUCUGCCAGUGGUUAAAAACCUGGGCUGGAGAAUCAGACGGACCUGGAUUGAGAUCCAGGCUCUACCACUUACUGUCCAUGAUCAAGGGCAAGUUCCCUCGUCCGUCUAAGGCUCAGCUGUCUCAUCUGUAAAAGGGGAUUAGAAAUAGAACAUAUCUCUUGGAGUUGCUGGUGGGAUUAAAUGGGAAGACGAAGGUACGUACUCAGUGAGAGUGCGAUAUGACCAUUAUCACCAAGAAAAACUAGUGGGAGGUUAAAUUAUCAAACAAUAAAGUUGUUAAGAGGCUGUGAAUCUUCAUUAGGUAACCCACCAGUGGUGGUGUUUAGCCAGGCGGUAGACAUUAGGCAAGCUUAGACAACCUAAGUGGCUACUGAAUGGCUACACCACAGAGAGGUUUGACCCAGUCACUCCUACCGGUCCAGAUUAACAGAGUCCUAUGGUCCCUCCUACCCCCACCCUUUCUCUACUUGCUGGGUGACCAGGUAAAUACCUUCCCUUCUAUGGACAUCAGUUUUGGUGCCUAUCAGAGGUGAGGAUUGGACUGGAGGGUCUCUAAUGUCUAAAUCCCCGUAAUUUAAGGAUUGCGCUGAAUUCCUAAGCAAUUGUCAUGUG
rnacentral:lncRNA from 1 species